AUUGAACGCUGGCGGCAGGCCUAACACAUGCAAGUCGAACGGUAGCACAGAGGAGCUUGCUCCUUGGGUGACGAGUGGCGGACGGGUGAGUAAUGUCUGGGAAACUGCCCGAUGGAGGGGGAUAACUACUGGAAACGGUAGCUAAUACCGCAUAACGUCGCAAGACCAAAGAGGGGGACCUUCGGGCCUCUUGCCAUCGGAUGUGCCAGAUGGGAUGAGCUAGUAGGUGGGGUAACGGCUCACCUAGGCGACGAUCCCUAGCUGGUCUGAGAGGAUGACCAGCCACACUGGAACUGAGACACGGUCCAGACUCCUACGGGAGGCAGCAGUGGGGAAUAUUGCGCAAGGGGCGCAAGCCUGAUGCAGCCAUGCCGCGUGUAAGAAGAAGGCCUUCGGGUUGUAAAGUACUUUCAGCGGGGAGGAAGGGAGUAAAGUUAAUACCUUUGCUCAUUGACGUUACCCGCAGAAGAAGCACCGGCUAACUACGUGCCAGCAGCCGCCGUAA
rnacentral:rRNA from 1 species